AUUGAACGCUGGCGGUAGGCCUAACACAUGCAAGUCGAACGGCAGCACAGUAUGCGCUUUCUCUUCCGGGUGGCGAGUGGCGGACGGGUGAGGAAUACAUCGGAAUCUACUUUUUCGUGGGGGAUAACGUCGGGAAACUUACGCUAAUACCGCAUACGACCUACGGGUGGAAGCAGGAGAUCUUCGGCCCUUGCGCGAUUGAAUGAGGCGAUGUCGGAUUAGCUAGUUGGCGGGGUAAAGGCCCACCAAGGCGACGAUCCGUAGCUGGUCUGAGAGGAUGAUCAGCCACACUGGAACUGAGACACGGUCCAGACUCCUACGGGAGGCAGCAGUGGGGAAUAUUGGACAAUGGGCGCAAGCCUGAUCCAGCCAUACCGCGUGCGUGAAGAAGGCCUUCGGGUUGUAAAGCCCUUUUGUUGGGAAAGAAAAGCAGCAGGUUAAUACCCCGCUGUUCUGACGGUACCCAAAGAAUAAGCACCGGCUAACUUCGUG
rnacentral:rRNA from 1 species